AUUGAACGCUGGCAGCAUGCCUUACACAUGCAAGUCGAACGGCAGCACAGGGAGCUUGCUCCUGGGUGGCGAGUGGCGAACGGGUGAGUAAUGUAUCGGAACGUGCCCAGUAGUGGGGGAUAACUACUCGAAAGAGUGGCUAAUACCGCAUGAGAUCCCUGGAUGAAAGUGGGGGACCGCAAGGCCUCACGCUACUGGAGCGGCCGAUAUCAGAUUAGGUUGUUGGUGGGGUAAAGGCCUACCAAGCCUGCGAUCUGUAGCUGGUCUGAGAGGACGACCAGCCACACUGGGACUGAGACACGGCCCAGACUCCUACGGGAGGCAGCAGUGGGGAAUUUUGGACAAUGGGCGUAAGCCUGAUCCAGCAAUGCCGCGUGCAGGAUGAAGGCCUUCGGGUUGUAAACUGCUUUUGUACGGAACGAAAAGGCUCUGGUUAAUACCUGGGGUCCAUGACGGUACCGUAAGAAUAAGCACCGGCUAACUACGUGCCAGCCGCCGCGGUAAUAC
rnacentral:rRNA from 1 species